rnacentral:lncRNA from 1 species
AAAUAUAGAACAAAGAUUUUUAUUUUUAAUUUUUCAAAAAAAUUAAGAAUAUAUAGAAUGGUAUAUUUUACUUUUUUGAUUUCCAAUAAAUACAAAAAGACAGCCAACCUAUCUUCUAAUCAUUGAGGCCUUUGAACAUUCAAACUAGUUUCAUUUUUCCCUUCCUCUAAAUUCAAACUGCAAGAGUAUCAUAAGCAAUGAAGGAAAUCAUAUUAUAUUAAGUCCAGAUCAGUUUCGAGUUCAAAUUAGAUUUCAUGAGGCUCAUCUAAAACAGGCAGCAUUUUCAUU